rnacentral:lncRNA from 1 species
GGCGACUUCUGGCUUGGCUCCUUUUGUGUUUGUCACAAAAUGAUUUCAUAAACGAGUUUAAGGAAAACCCCAAAACAAAGGAGAAAAACCUCUUUGGCAAAACGACAGUGGGGAUGGAGCUAUCUUGCUCCAGGACAACUUCUUAUGAGGAUUCUGUGUGGCUGUUCCGAGUGCUUCACUGCUUCCCAGCUGAGGGACUGCUGCCAAGUUCUCAACUUCUAUGUCCCUCCUCUCCUCACCUGCACCUGCCCUGUAGGGUAAUUAUAAGGCUUCAGCGAGCUACGUCCUGGAGGUGCUCCCUGAAUGUUACCUGUGAGGAGGAGCAGUGGAGCAGGGGAAUGCAGAGGAAGAAGAGGUAUCGUGGAAGAAGGGGUAGUCUUACUGGCUAUGUAUUGAGCAAUUUUCAAAGUUGGGAGUGUCUUACGCAGCCAUUUGUUUAGACCUUGGCUGUCCAGUGUGGUGGUCACUGGAUACAGGUGGCAAGUGAACACUUGAAAUGUGGCUAGUGCAAACAGAUGUGCCACAAACAUAAAAGGCAUUGGGUUUGGAAGAUUUAGUAUGAGGAAGGGAAUGUACAAUACUUAAUAUUUUUUCAUAUGAAUUACAUGUUGAACUAAUAUUUUGGAUAUAUUAGGUUUAAUAAAAUCUAUUAUUAGAAUUAAUUUCACCUGUUUCUGAUAACAAUGUUUUUUGAUGUUUCCACUAGAAAAUUUCAAAUGACAUCUGUGGCUCCCAUUCGCUGAUCUGAAUGGGACUUACAGAAAGUGACUUUGGGCAUAUUGAAUAGAACUUGCAGCCCAUACAAUAUCUCUUGCAUUGGACAAUCAUGGCAGAAAUCCCACUAGAGCAGCCUCAUUGCUUAAAGACCUUGAGCUUUAGGAAAUUGUAAGGUUCUCUAGGGAAUUUUGAGCUAUCAGUCAUUUGCACCGUACUAUGAAUAAGCACCAGAGUCUUUUUUUUGGAAAGCAGAUUUUGAUAUGAGGAGUGGGGUCAGAGGAAGACAGAAGGAAAUAAGAACCGUGACAGCAAUGAGCAGGGAAGAGAGGGGAAAGGGGCCCCUCCCACGUGGGUGAAAGGAACUGAGUGGGCAGAUGGUGAAACUGACCCACAAAUGAUGCCUUCACGGCUUUGUGUCUUGAUUCCUUUUGUCCUUCUCACAGUCCUGUCACGGUGGUCUGCAUGUUGUGGGAGCACACAAUAACUGUUAGAGCUUGAUGGCCAUAAAUAAAAUUUGAAAGAAGGAUUUGGCUAUAUGAGACAAUUUCCCACUUGGCAUGAUUUGGCCUGGAGCCUGCAGACUAUCCACGGGGUGACUAACCAUCACUUCUUUACUGGGCAAGGAGUUUUCCUGUGUGUUUUUUUCCUCCUUAUCUAUUUUCAUGGCAUGUUGAGAUGGGGUUGGAGCCAGGACUUCAUGCAGAAGUGAAGAGCCUGGUGCUCAGCAGAGGGAGUGGCCUGCUUUCGGUCACACAGGAGCGGUGGAUCCCGCAGCUCAAAUUUGUCUUGUAUCACUGAACUCCACAAUGGACAGCCAUUCAUUCCUUACAGAGCCUUAAGACGGCUUAUGAACACUACAAGAAAGCACCCCAGGAGAGACCUCUCUCUGGGGGAGGAACAGUGAACCUGGCUUGCCUGCCUCGGAAAGAAACCCUGAAGGACGUUUUCCUUGUUAAGAUUGCUCUUGUUAAAAAGCUGUGCAGUCCUAAAAUGUUAUUGAACAAUAGCUUUUCACACAAAGGCUGUGUAGCCAACAGUCCCCUCUAACCUGCUGCAACUCCUUGGCUUCCAUCUCCUGCAGAGGCUGCAGGGCAGGAGCCCAGGGCUCUACUGUGGCCUCCUCGGCCUCACCAUCCUCACCAGCUUGGCUUCCAUUCCUUCUGAACAGUCUUCUCCCCUGGGUACUUCUAUUUCCCUGUCUGUUGGGAGGGCUAUAGGAAAAGUGACUUGUAAAACUUUUAGUUAAGACAUCUCUUUAGUGCCAAUUGUUUGUUGGUGCUGUGAUUGUCGAGUUUUGUCUAAAUUUUGUCUAAAGUUAGAUACUUUACUUGGGAACAUUGUCUGAUAUCUACAUCAGAAAAAGAUCCGCACAGGUUAUUUGCAAUCCACUCAAACCAAGAAAUUACCUGGAUAUAGUUGGUGACAAAAGUGAUAGUUGGUAUCAAGGAAUGGGGUUGUCAAAAUGUAUAGUGAAUGUGAAUCUUGCUGUUUGUGUUUUAACUUAUGGAAAUAAAUUUCCCCAAAACUUCUUGGGCUGCUCUUUAUCCCACUAGAUUGUGGGAUGUACAGCCAGGAGAUCACAGACUCUCAGGAUGCCUGGCAGCAAGUGGGGGGCCAGAAUUUCUGGCGGUGGAA